rnacentral:rRNA from 1 species
GGGUUGUGAGGUUAAGCGACUAAGCGUACACGGUGGAUGCCCUGGCAGUCAGAGGCGAUGAAGGACGUGCUAAUCUGCGAUAAGCGUCGGUAAGGUGAUAUGAACCGUUAUAACCGGCGAUUUCCGAAUGGGAAACCCAGUGUUUCGACACACUAUCAUUAACUGAAUCCAUAGGUUAAUGACCGGGGAACUGGUACCCCGAGGAAAGAAAUCAACCGAGAUUCCCCAGUAGCGGCGAGCGAACGGGGAGCAGCCCAGAGCCUGAAUCAGUGUGUGUGUUAGUGGAAGCGUCUGGAAAGGCGUGCGAUACAGGGUGACAGCCCCGUACACAAAAAUGCACAUGCUGUGAGCUCGAUGAGUAGGGCGGGACACGUGGUAUCCUGUCUGAAUAUGGGGGGACCAUCCUCCAAGGCUAAAUACUCUGACCGAUAGUGAACCAGUACCGUGAGGAAAGGCGAAAAGAACCCCGGGGAAAAAGAACCUGAAACCGUGUACGUACAAGCAGUGGGAGCACGCUUAGGCGUGUGACUGCGUACCUUUGUAUAAUGGGUCAGCGACUUAUAUUCUGUAGCAAGGUUAACCGAAUAGGGGAGCCGAAGGGAAACCGAGUCUUAACUGGGCGUUAAGUUGCAGGGUAUAGACCCGAAACCCGGUGAUCUAGCCAUGGGCAGGUUGAAGGUUGGGUAACACUAACUGGAGGACCGAACCGACUAAUGUUGAAAAAUUAGCGGAUGACUUGUGGUUGAAAGGCCAAUCAAACCGGGAGAUAGCUGGUUCUCCCCGAAAGCUAUUUAGGUAGCGCCUCGUGAAUUCAUCUCCGGGGGUAGAGCACUGUUUCGGCAAGGGGGUCAUCCCGACUUACCAACCCGAUGCAAACUGCGAAUACCGGAGAAUGUUAUCACGGAGACACGGCGGGUGCUAACGUCCGUCGUGAAGGAAACAGACCGCCAGCUAAGGUCCCAAAGUCAUGGUUAAGUGGGAAACGAUGUGGGAAGGCCCAGACAGCCAGGAUGUUGGCUUAGAAGCAGCCAUCAUUUAAAGAAAGCGUAAUAGCUCACUGGUCGAGUCGGCCUGCGCGGAAGAUGUAACGGGGCUAAACCAUGCACCGAAGCUGCGGCAGCGACACUAUGUGUUGUUGGGUAGGGGAGCGUUCUGUAAGCCUGUGAAGGUGUACUGUGAUGCUGGAGGUAUCAGAAGUGCGAAUGCUGACAUAAGUAACGAUAAAGCGGGUGAAAAGCCCGCUCGCCGGAAGACCAAGGGUUCCUGUCCAACGUUAAUCGGGGCAGGGUGAGUCGACCCCUAAGGCGAGGCCGAAAGGCGUAGUCGAUGGGAAACAGGUUAAUAUUCCUGUACUUGGUUGUUUAGAAGGACGGAGAAGGCUAUGUUGGCCGGGCGACGGUUGUCCCGGUUUAAGCGUGUAGGCUGGUUUUCGAGCAAAUCCGGAAAAAAGGCUGAGGCGUGAUGACGAGGCACUACGGUGCUGAAGCAACAAAUGCCCUGCUUCCAGGAAAAGCCUCUAAGCAUCAGGUAACAUCAAAUCGUACCCCAAACCGACACAGGUGGUCAGGUAGAGAAUACCAAGGCGCUUGAGAGAACUCGGGUGAAGGAACUAGGCAAAAUGGUGCCGUAACUUCGGGAGAAGGCACGCUGAUAUGUAGGUGAAGUCCCUCGCGGAUGGAGCUGAAAUCAGUCGAAGAUACCAGCUGGCUGCAACUGUUUAUUAAAAACACAGCACUGUGCAAACACGAAAGUGGACGUAUACGGUGUGACGCCUGCCCGGUGCCGGAAGGUUAAUUGAUGGGGUUAGCCGCAAGGCGAAGCUCUCGAAGCCCCGGUAAACGGCGGCCGUAACUAUAACGGUCCUAAGGUAGCGAAAUUCCUUGUCGGGUAAGUUCCGACCUGCACGAAUGGCGUAAUGAUGGCCAGGCUGUCUCCACCCGAGACUCAGUGAAAUUGAACUCGCUGUGAAGAUGCAGUGUACCCGCGGCAAGACGGAAAGACCCCGUGAACCUUUACUAUAGCUUGACACUGAACAUUGAGCCUUGAUGUGUAGGAUAGGUGGGAGGCUUGGAAGUGUGGACGCCAGUCUGCAUGGAGCCGACCUUGAAAUACCACCCUUUAAUGUUUGAUGUUCUAACGUUGACCCGUAAUCCGGGUUGCGGACAGUGUCUGGUGGGUAGUUUGACUGGGGCGGUCUCCUCCUAAAGAGUAACGGAGGAGCACGAAGGUUGGCUAAUCCUGGUCGGACAUCAGGAGGUUAGUGCAAUGGCAUAAGCCAGCUUGACUGCGAGCGUGACGGCGCGAGCAGGUGCGAAAGCAGGUCAUAGUGAUCCGGUGGUUCUGAAUGGAAGGGCCAUCGCUCAACGGAUAAAAGGUACUCCGGGGAUAACAGGCUGAUACCGCCCAAGAGUUCAUAUCGACGGCGGUGUUUGGCACCUCGAUGUCGGCUCAUCACAUCCUGGGGCUGAAGUAGGUCCCAAGGGUAUGGCUGUUCGCCAUUUAAAGUGGUACGCGAGCUGGGUUUAGAACGUCGUGAGACAGUUCGGUCCCUAUCUGCCGUGGGCGCUGGAGAACUGAGGGGGGCUGCUCCUAGUACGAGAGGACCGGAGUGGACGCAUCACUGGUGUUCGGGUUGUCAUGCCAAUGGCACUGCCCGGUAGCUAAAUGCGGAAGAGAUAAGUGCUGAAAGCAUCUAAGCACGAAACUUGCCCCGAGAUGAGUUCUCCCUGACUCCUUGAGAGUCCUGAAGGAACGUUGAAGACGACGACGUUGAUAGGCCGGGUGUGUAAGCGCAGCGAUGCGUUGAGCUAACCGGUACUAAUGAACCGUGAGGCUUAACCUUACAACGCCGAAGGUGUUU